rnacentral:lncRNA from 1 species
AAAAAGAGAAAUACUUAUAGAUAAAACGCAACUGGUUUAUACAGCACAUUACAUUGGUCAUUUGAAUAGCUCUUAGAGGCUUUUAUUAGAAACUAAUUUCUUUCUUUGCUAAACCCAAAUAGUCUCUUUUCUGUGUUUUGCCUUAGCAUGCAUAUUAUCUCCUGGAGUUUUUGAAUUUUAUAAAAGGUAAGUAUUAGUGAAAUUGGUGCCAUCUUACCUGAGGUGCCAUCUUAAGCUUCAGGUGCCAUCUUGGCCUCUUGCCCAGUCACCAUCUUGUACCAUAAGGUUCAGUUUCUCCGAGACAAGUUUCAGUUUCCAAACCCAGCCUGGUUUUCCAGAAAUCAGGUGACCAAAUGGCCCAAUCACAUGCCUUGCCUUCACCCCUCAAUAGAAUUUACUGUUCUUACUUCCUUAUCUCUGCUAAGCCAUGUAAGGCCUGUUCUCCUGGUGCGGGCUGCUGUUUCUCUUGUGCACGGAGAGGCAGCCUUGUCAACUGACAGUAAACUUUUCCUUCACUCUAGUGUUGGGUGUGUUUUAUAAUGGCCUUUCAUUGGUGCCAUGACUCGCAUUCAGGCCUUGCUCUCCCCUCGAGGAUCUGAUCUGCUUCAGGAUCCUGGAUUCUUGCCAAACACAACACCACCCAGACCUCCUUCUUCACCACUGAGCACUCCGUGAUUCCCAUUCACACACUGGCCCUUCAAAAUUUCUGAGUUCCUUUCACAGAAUAAUCCCUCUACCUGCAAGAGAUGAAUGAUCUUUCUCCUGGUCUUGGUUGGAAUCUGCUUUGCAGCUUCCACUCUUUAGUGGUGAUCUUGGUAACUGCUGUAAGCUACGACGUCAUCUCUAGUAACUGGAUCCAAAAACAACUCCAACAACAACAGGAGGAGGUCACCAGAACCAUUGUGACUUCUGCAGACACUAUUCGGCAUCUUCAAAAUCACAUCACUCCACUAGUAUGCUCUGGGUUGCACUAACUGAAUUUCAAACAUGGAAUGUGACUUACUAGGUAUGUGUGGUGUUUCAUAUAUUUGAACAUUUUGGCAUUAUAUUUUGAAGUAAUUUUUGAGGAUUUUGUAUCUAAUGGAAAUAGGGAAUAAUUUGAUAAUAAGUAACAUAAGUAGAUAAAUCAAAAUGCUGAGAAGGAUCAAAAGAGAACUCAAGAAAUU